UGUUUUAGUCUGAAAGAAAAACUACAAACCAGGUGAGGCACCCAGUCUGGUUCUACGGUGGUUCUGUUUGGUCUCAGUCUGUUGUUCAGAUCUUGUUCUUCAGCACUUUGGAGCGUCUGAACAAACUCACAAAGUUUCAUCUCUGCUGUCUGAAGACUAAUCUACA